UUGCCCUGUUGCUCUGACACCUGCAGGACGGAAGAACACAUCACGACACAUUUUACCGAGUCUCCUGAAAAGGAUAAACUGCAUAUUUUUGGAGCUUUCUAUCUUGGGUACAGCACUCUGUGAACAACCAGAUUCUUUGGCUAUGAGCUCUUGUGUAUUUCCAUCCUUGUGGAAGGUGUCAAGGACUGUCUUCUGGACAUCUGUCAAGUCAGGAUUCGUCCUCAUGUUUGUGUAAUAGAAACAGAUGACAACUUUAAACCACUAAGUAAUGGCUAUGACUACCUGGUGGACUUUUUGGAUUUGUCAUUUCCUUCCUUAAGGCCAGACAGAGAGCACUCCUACAUUGAGAUUAAAAACACAAUCGGUGUGAUGAGGUACGUGGUCCUGCAUGGCUGCCUCUAGGAUGACCUGUACAUUGGCUUUCAGAACCAAAUCAGCCGAGAUCCGGAUGUCUACCACCACAAGUUCUGGAACCACUUCCAGACCCAGUUACCACUGCGCUGUCCAGACUGGGGCCAGUUUCUGCAGAAGGUGACCCCCAUCCAGGAAACGGACGCAUCAGAUGGAGGCUUACUGAGCUACUGUUCAGUCUUAUAGAUUUAAAUAGUGGGAAUAUGAGGAUAAUGUUUCAGAUUUUCUGGUUCCCUUUUUUUCUGGUAAAUUAUGAAUGCACAUGAAAGGUAUUUAAAUAACUACUUUGGUGAUUGCAUUUAUUCAGCUCGAAGGGAAUUCACAAAUGAAGAUGCCAUUAACUCUGAAGGUUGUUGAAUGUGUUUUUAAUAGUGUUUCCUACUGGCUUUUGUGCUUAUGGAAGUUGUCUUUUGUAACUGUUCUGGGUUUUGUUUUUCUAUUUAUUGAAAAUGUGUUUUCUUAUCUAAAUGCAGGUAAUUCGGUGAAGCAAUUAUAGAGCAAGGCCACAGCUCAAAUGCAUUUUUGAUUACCUAUUAAUUCUUCUCUCAGAACCCCUUUUCUAAGCUUCCAACCAUCUGUCCAUAUCCUUUACCCCUUAUUUUGAGGUCUUUAGAUCCAGUUAAUUUUUUUUUUUUUUCAGGCAUUUUAGGAAAACAAAACUUGGAUAUUCCUGAGAAGGGAAGACGAGUCACAUUUACAAUCACUGGUUAUCUUAUUAGGCACACCUUCUCAAUUCCAAUUUGCAAAUGAAUCAAUCAUAUCGCAGCAACGCAAAGCAUUGGGGUGUCUAGAGGUAGUGAUGAUGACUUGCUGGCGUUCUACGAGAACAUUAGAAUAAGGAAUUAAAAGGGUUUGUGUGUUUACAGAUGAUGGUUCAAAACAGAGAAAAUAUCCAGUGAGGCAAACUGGUGUUUGAGAUGACAGAAACUCAGCAGUAGCUCAAAUGACUUUUACAAAGAAGUUAUACAGAAUACUGUCUCUGAACAGAAAUUACCUUGGAGCUCUGAAGCAGAUGGACUACAGCAGCAGAAGGCUUUACCGGGUACCACUCCUGUCAACUAAGAACAAAAACCUGAGGAAACGAGGUCACCAAAAUUAAAUAUGUGACAUGUGAAAAACAGGCUCCAUGGUUGCGCAGUUGGUAGUAUUGUUUCAGAGCGAAGGUUGUGGUUUUACAUCCCAGCCAUAGAUCUUUCUGCAUGGAGUUCAUGCUUCUUGCCUACUGGAAAUAGGAACCAGCUCCAUAUCAAAGAUGGCCAGCAAAAAAAUCUGCAAUGCUAUCAUGCAAAUACAGGCAAAAAUGGUCCCGAAACUUCAGUUCAGUCUGGAGCCAGUGCCAGGGAGACUUCACCCCAGCAAGACCUACCUAAUGAAGCGGCAUUGAAGAACAUUUAACCAACUGUACAACUAAAAAUGAUCACGAAAACCAAAAUGACAGCGAUAAUUUCUUUUAGUUAGAUAUUUCUCAUAAUGCUUCACAAAGAUCUCCAUCAUCAGGUUCAAGCAGGAUUGAGGAUUAAUUAAUUUCCCUUCAGGAAUAAUAAAAUAUUUUUGAAUUGAAUUGGAACCUUAACCCUCUCAAGAAUUUCAUCCUUUUUAUCCAUCUAGACAAUCCUCCCCAAUCAGCUGGGUUCAUUUCAGUUUUAGUUUAAUUAUUCACUAUGCAGCAUACGUACUAUAGUGCCUUGUAUGAGAUGGAUUCAAUGUCAGUUCCAUUUCACAACAAAUCCAUUCACUACAGCCUCCCUAUUCAACCCAGUUCCAUUUUAUUCAGUCUUCUUCAUGCCUACUAUUCCCCCAGUGGGAAUUUAGUUGGGUUUUAAGUUGGCCAGUCGAUGUACUCAGGCACUUUGAGUCUUCUUCUACAUAACUACUAAUCAUGAGACUCCAAUGAUGAAACAACCUUUUUAUAGCCUUGUCUUAUCUCCCUUAUGUUUGAUUAAAUAUCUUGGCACUUUGUUGAUUAGAAAACUGCCUCACCUUCUCCUUGUUUAAGACAGUAGCACUAGUGAUUAUAACCAAACCUUUUACCUGGUCACACAAAGCUCUAUUUAUUGCUUAAAGCCCAAUGGUGAAAGAAUGAAAAAUGUUUAAUGAUCGUUUGGGUUUUGAUAGACUGAUGUUUUCAUCAUAGUACUGUGGUACUGGUAUUUUGUUAUACAAUGUAAUAGUUUAUUUUUCUUUUAGGGAAUACAGUACCAAACUGUGGAGGUAUUUGUCAUGAUUAUCAAUUAAAAGUGAUGUUUUUGUUG